CCUACGGGAGGCAGCAGUGAGGAAUAUUGGUCAAUGGGCGAGAGCCUGAACCAGCCAAGUCGCGUGAAGGAUGACGGCCCUACGGGUUGUAAACUUCUUUUGUCAGGGAGCAAUUGAGUCCCCGUGUGGUCUUAGCGAGAGUACCUGAAGAAAAAGCAUCGUCUAACUCCGUGCCAGCAGCCGCGGUAAUACGGAGGAUGUGAGCGUUAUUCGGAUUGAUUGGGUUUAAAGGGUGCGUAGGCGGAAUAUCAAGUCAGCGGUAAAAAUUCGGGGCUCAACCCCGUCGUGCCGUUGAUACUGAUGUUCUUGAGUGGGCGAGAGGUAUGCGGAAUGCGUGGUGUAGCGGUGAAAUGCGUAGAUAUCACGAAGAACUCCGAUUGCGAAGGCAGCAUACCGGCGCCCAACUGACGCUGAAGCACGAAAGCGUGGGUAUCGAACAGGAUUAGAUACCCGAGUAGUC
rnacentral:rRNA from 1 species